CCACACUUCCUACAUUUCCAUUUUCACCUCUGCUGGCUGGAGCAUCUCAAGAUGGGCUGCUGACAGGUGCUGCUGGAGGCUGAGAGAUGGAAAAGCAAGGAUGCUCUGAUAUGGUCUGUCACUAGCUUGAAGAGAAAAAAAGCAGGAAAAAUCCAGGGAGAGAAAAUGAUGUCUCUCUCUGUUCAGAGAGUGUGAAUGCCACACUGCUCCUUCUACAAAAUGCCACAUCCUCUCUGGGGGUGUUUUCAGGCUCAGGUGCCCUUUCAGACCUGAGCUUCAUGGCUGGGAAGAAGCCCCCUGGGAUCAGCUGCAGAGGCAGAAGGAAAUAUGACUAAGGAGACACGAGGUGUUUGACCUGGUGACAGCAGUAACUGGCUCAGAUUUGUUGGCUCGUGGAUGGUGUUGGAGGGAUGUGAGAGCACCACCAGCCCUGAGGUGCCACAUUUUUCUGCGCAUGGAUGCAGUGACUGCCCUUUGGAAGGAGAUUAUUAAUCUUUGCCAUGUCAUUGCUUUGAGCAAUGGAUAAGUGAAAGACCUGUUCUGCAGCACCUAGAGAGGAAGCCCAAAGAGCUGGCUCCUCCAAGAACAACCCACACCCACCCACCUGAAGGACAGAGACUUCUCUCUAGAAUUUCACUGCCACUUGGGAGCCUUGAGGUUGAAAGCUCCUCCAUGGCACAUACUUGGAGGAACACUUCAUCUUCCCUGGCUGUAAGAAUUUGUCUUGACUAAAGAUUUUCAAUUAAAAGUCAAGACUGAAUUGUUGCAAAGUGCUGCAGACAAGAGUCAUUAAUACUGGAAUGCAAGUUUUAAAUAAUUUUUAAUAUGCUCUGCAAGACAUCCAUAAAAGGCCCUUAAUCAAUAUGCACUUCAAUUCCUUGCAUUAGGGUUUGAGGAAUUUAAAUUCAUGGCAGGGGAAGGGUUGAGAAAUCAUAAUGAAUUUCCAUCAGAGCUCUUACACAGCCGGACCUGGGAGAUCAUCAGGGUCCAAGCUGUUGGGAGGCUGUGACCAAAUGGAUCAGACUUUUUUGGUGGUCCCAGUCCAUGGAGAAUGGGUGUUGUGGCUUGUCAUUGAUAUGGAAGCAAAUUUUUGAGUCCCUGUUGAUGACAGCAGCUGUGAUUUUGCUUGGCCAUUUCAGCCAAUAUCAAACAUUCACUGGCACUACUGGAAGUUUAAGCAUUCCCUGACCAUCCCCUGGUGAGAAGAGCAGAGAGGAUGAGGAUGGGCUGAGCUGUAGACAUUAGGGCUGCAGGUGCUCCUUCUUGGGGACCCCAAA